AGCGAACGCUGGCGGCAGGCCUAACACAUGCAAGUCGAACGAUCCUUCGGGAUAGUGGCGGACGGGUGAGUAACACGUGGGAACGUGAGCUUUGGUUCGGAACAGCCCAGGGAAACUUGAGCUAAUACCGAAUGUGCCCUUCGGGGGAAAGAUUUAUCGCCAUUGGAGCGGCCCGCGUCUGAUUCGCUAGUUGGUGAGGUAAUGGCUCACCAAGGCGACGAUCAGUAGCUGGUCUGAGAGGAUGAUCAGCCACACUGGGACUGAUACACGGCCCAGACGCCUACGGUAGGCAGCAGUGGGGAAUCUUGCGCAAUUGGCGAAAGCCUGACGCAGCCAUGCCGCGUGAAUGAUGAAGGUCUUAGGAUUGUAAAAUUCUUUCACCUGGGACGAUAAUGACGGUACCCGGAGAAGAAGCUCCGGCUAACUUCGUGCCAGCAGCCGCCGUAAAAC
rnacentral:rRNA from 1 species